rnacentral:rRNA from 1 species
AUGCGACCCCAGGUCAGGCAGA